UACGAAGGGUGCAAGCGUUGUUCGGAUUUAUUGGGCGUAAAGGGCGUGUAGGCGGAAAAGUAAGUCAGGUGUGAAAUCUCCGAGCUUAACUCCGAAACAGCGCCUGAAACUGCUUAUCUAGAAUCUCGAAUGGGGAGGCGGAAUUUCGCAUGUAGGAGUAAAAUCCGUAGAGAUGCGAAGGAACACCAGAGGCGAAGGCGGCCUCCUGGACGAGUAUUGACGCUGAGGCGCGAAAGCGUGGGGAGCAAACAGG
rnacentral:rRNA from 1 species